UCAUGAACAGCCAAGUGAUAUAUAUAUAUAUAUGUGUGUGUGUGUGUGUGUGUGUGUAUAUAUAUAUACACACACACACACACAAAUGUUUAUAUUCA
rnacentral:miRNA from 1 species